rnacentral:rRNA from 1 species
UACGUAUGGUGCAAGCGUUAUCCGGAAUGACUGGGUGUAAGGGGAGCGUAGACGGUUGUACAAGUCUGAUGUGAAAGCCCACGGCUCAACUGUGGGAGUGCAUUGGAAACUGUAGAACUAGAGUAUCGGAGAGGCAAGUGGAAUUCCUAGUGUAGCGGUGAAAUGCGUAGAUAUUAGGAGGAACACCAGUGGCGAAGGCGGCUUGCUGGACGAAAACUGACGUUGAGGCUCGAAAGCAUGGGUAGCGAACAGG